GAUGAACGCUGGCGGCGUGCCUAAUACAUGCAAGUCGAGCGAACGGACGAGAAGCUUGCUUCUCUGAUGUUAGCGGCGGACGGGUGAGUAACACGUGGAUAACCUACCUAUAAGACUGGGAUAACUUCGGGAAACCGGAGCUAAUACCGGAUAAUAUUUUGAACCGCAUGGUUCAAAAGUGAAAGACGGUCUUGCUGUCACUUAUAGAUGGAUCCGCGCUGCAUUAGCUAGUUGGUAAGGUAACGGCUUACCAAGGCAACGAUGCAUAGCCGACCUGAGAGGGUGAUCGGCCACACUGGAACUGAGACACGGUCCAGACUCCUACGGGAGGCAGCAGUAGGGAAUCUUCCGCAAUGGGCGAAAGCCUGACGGAGCAACGCCGCGUGAGUGAUGAAGGUCUUCGGAUCGUAAAACUCUGUUAUUAGGGAAGAACAUAUGUGUAAGUAACUGUGCACAUCUUGACGGUACCUAAUCAGAAAGCCACGGCUAACUACGUGCCAGCAGCCGCGGUAAUACGUAGGUGGCAAGCGUUAUCCGGAAUUAUUGGGCGUAAAGCGCGCGUAGGCGGUUUUUUAAGUCUGAUGUGAAAGCCCACGGCUCAACCGUGGAGGGUCAUUGGAAACUGGAAAACUUGAGUGCAGAAGAGGAAAGUGGAAUUCCAUGUGUAGCGGUGAAAUGCGCAGAGAUAUGGAGGAACACCAGUGGCGAAGGCGACUUUCUGGUCUGUAACUAACGCUGAUGUGCGAAAGCGUGGGGAUCAAACAGGAUUAGAUACCCUGGUAGUCCACGCCGUAAACGAUGAGUGCUAAGUGUUAGGGGGUUUCCGCCCCUUAGUGCUGCAGCUAACGCAUUAAGCACUCCGCCUGGGGAGUACGACCGCAAGGUUGAAACUCAAAGGAAUUGACGGGGACCCGCACAAGCGGUGGAGCAUGUGGUUUAAUUCGAAGCAACGCGAAGAACCUUACCAAAUCUUGACAUCCUUUGACAACUCUAGAGAUAGAGCCUUCCCCUUCGGGGGGCAAAGUGACAGGUGGUGCAUGGUUGUCGUCAGCUCGUGUCGUGAGAUGUUGGGUUAAGUCCCGCAACGAGCGCAACCCUUAAGCUUGGUUGCCAUCAUUAAGUUGGGCACUCUAAGUUGACUGCCGGUGACAAACCGGAGGAAGGUGGGGAUGACGUCAAAUCAUCAUGCCCCUUAUGAUUUGGGCUACACACGUGCUACAAUGGACAAUACAAGGGGCAGCGAAACCGCGAGGUCAAGCAAAUCCCAUAAAGUUGUUCUCAGUUCGGAUUGUAGUCUGCAACUCGACUACAUGAAGCUGGAAUCGCUAGUAAUCGUAGAUCAGCAUGCUACGGUGAAUACGUUCCCGGGUCU
rnacentral:rRNA from 1 species